AAGCCUUUGGCUCCCCUGAGAUGCCAAAUAGCCGCUCACUCUUCCGCCUCCACGGACUGGCUUUGGUGUUCAUGCUGGUUGGGAUGUCUACUAUGGACCUGCUGAGCACAGGGCUGGGUUCCUGGGGCACAGAGUUGAUGCUUAUGGCCCAGGAACUGCUGGGCCCCAGGACUGGGCGGUUUCCAUGGUUGCUGCCACAGAAGCAGCAUUGCUGGAGUCAGUAGUGUGGCUGCCUUGCCAUGGCCGUGGUGGGUCUGCCUGGGGGUAUCUCAAUCCCGCAGAGUGCCAGGCAACCACUCCAGCCUGCUGUUGAAGGCCCCUGGCCACCCCUGGAGUUCCAGAAGUUUAAGAGACACACACAAAAUUAUCCAACCCAGAAGAAGAGUGCACUUCCAGGGACAAUUUAAGCAUUCAGCUGGUAGCAGUAAAGCACCUGCUGCAAGCCAAGUGCGUGGAUAGGAGCUGUGGUUACAACCCUGGAUGGGCCAGACAUUAUCCUCCUCUCACGGUGCUAGUGGUGACUGGCAAGGGAGCUGACUUCACAGCAUGAGGGCCACCUGGAAGGUAACCUGUCUCAGGUGGCAGGUUGGGGACUUGGGGCCAACCAGAUUUCUCCUCCUUUCUGUGUCUGUUCCCCUCCAUGAAAUGAAGAGUUUAAGAACCAGGGUGUUAUCUAACCACAUCACCCUGCUUCCAUAUUCAGACCCAGGGUCUGAAAGAAAUGAGAUGGAGACAAAAUGAAAGCAGAAGGUUGGAGGAAUGAAAUUCACAAUAAAACCUACAAUCUGCUCCUUGACCAAAAUGAUAGCUCAGGCACGCUGAGCACUCACUAUGGGCCAGGCGCUGUGCUAAGACCUUCACGUACUUCAUCUCACUCUGCCCUCUCAACAGCCGCAUUUUCCAGUUGACAGACUGAGGCUUGGAGAUGUCACCCUGCCCAGGGUCAAACGGCUAGUAAGUGGUAGAGCUGGGAUUCAGACCCCAGGGUGUCUGACUGUGGAGACUGCAAGGUCAGCUCUGCUCUGUUGCCUCAGCAGGUCUAUUCCUUGGAUUGAAAGAGCUCGCUGCAGUCUGAUUUCCCACAGAACAGUAGCAUGGAAAGAGUGGAGGAAGGCAGGGGAAAAUUCCCAGGCUGGUAGCUGGUGUUCUAUCUGCAAGGCUGCCUUAGCUCAAGCGGCCCCAGCCUCCGGGCAGCUGGUGGGAAGGUAAACUGCUGAAACUGAAGAUUUGCAAAACCCACCAUGCUCCAGUUAACGAGCCUCUUGGAAAACCUCUCUGAAGGUUCCUGGCAGUGUCCCUGUGGGAGCCAGCUCAUGUAUUUUAAGACAAAAAAAAAAUCAUUAAAGAAGUUAGGACUCUGGAGUGGCCGUAAAUGUAAAAUAUUGGUGGUUCGACAGUGUAUCCCUAGCAGCCGUAGGCAGAGUUCAUCUUGAUGAGCCAGAACCAUGUCCAAGAAAUGAAUCAUUUUGUUUUCCUCAGAGGGCUCCCCCUGAAUCUUCCCAGGCCGUCUGCUCCAAAGUUUUUAACUUGCCCACCUAGCUCAGGACCCACUAAGACCACGACUGCUCCUAGCCAGGAAAGGGAAUAGGGUUGGCAGAAUUGUAGAGCAAGCUGGGCCCCAAACACUUCUGGAACGGUGCCUGAGAGAUUCCAUUUUCCAGAUGGCCCCCAAGCCUUCCCUUACUUUGGUUGUUGGUAACCAUAACUGUCACACCAAAGGCACUUGUCUUCAUGACAUUCUGGAGGAGGGAGGUCAUGGCAUGUGGCACCUCUUAGGCACUCCGUGAGUGCUUGUGGAUGGUGGGGGCAAACACAUGGUUUGCAUGGUUUGGGCCUCCCACAUAUGGCACCUGCUUGUCUCUUUGGCUGAUGGGUGUCUUGGUUUCCCUUUGCCCAGCAAAGGUGGUACCACCAUCCAGCCAAUCUUUUAUUCUGCUCCCUCUUUCAUUUGGUGAACCAUAGUGAGGAUCCAGAUCUAGAGGAUUUAAAGUGUUGGGGACCCCCUGCCAGCUCAGAUCAAAUUUAAAGGUGUUGGGGACCCCCACCUGCCUCAGAUCAGAUUAAAGUCAGUGGCAGCCCAGGCCAGGAAUUGAGGCUAGAGGGGGGAUUUCCAAGGUCCCGCCCUAGCCCCCAGCUCCCACAUCCAGGGUGACUUCCAACAAACCACCUGACCCCUCCCCAUCCCCUCUUCCCAGCUUAGAGGCGGGGAGGGUGACAUUGAGCUUCGGCUCUGGGGCGUCCUAAGGGUUAACUAAUUAAUGGUCGGAAAGUGCUUUGAAAAAAUAAAGUGCUGGAUAAUGGGAAGGGCAAUUAUGUUGGGAGAAACUCCUAAUUUGGCUGGAAUUGAUGUUAAUGAUAAAGUAUCUGAAACAUGUAGCAAGCAAGCGUGAUUGUAUUUUAUAUGACAGAGAGAGACACUUACACGCAGGGGACACGGACAGCGGUUAAUUUGGUUAAAUAAAGUGAAAGAUAAAAGGAAUGCGGACACCGCAGGACUCGCUGUUUAUCCGGACUCAAUGUAACACUUUGCAAUUGGAUCGGGGCGCUUUGACUCUUAUUUAUUUGUUUGUGAUGAAAAUAAAUGGGAAAGUGCCAGUUUUAUGGCUUAAAAGGAGAUGGUAGAAAGUAGAAUCCAAGAAGGAGUCCCAGGGCUUCCGACGAGGCAGGCUCAGGCUGCGUUCCCAGGAAGGAGAACAAGGUCUCCGAGAGAGUCAAGGUGGGUGAGGACAUCCUCACUCCACCCCACCGGAGCUGGGGGAAUCUCAGAGGGCAACCAACAUAGCUCUCACCUUCCAGAGGGAGAAACUGAGACCCAGGAAAGGGAGAGGGUAUACGACUGAGUAUAGGAGCCAGCAUUAACUAAGCAAUUCUGUUCGCUAUGAUCAGAUGAGAUGUUAUGAUCCCAUUUAAUCCCUAAAGCAAGCGUAUGAGGUGGGUACCAUUUUCACUGCCAUAUUACAGAAGAAGAAACAGAAGCUCAGAGAGGUCAAGCAAGGAGCCCAAGAUCACACAGCCAGGAAGUGGUGGAGCAGGGCGUUGGGCUCGGGCAGCCUGACUCUGGGAGGAAAACUCCACGAAUGGUGACUUUGGGACUAAGCCAAUGCUCUUAAUAUUCAUGUCCCUCUUCUCCUUGACUACGUUCUGCUGAACAGGGAACCAGGAGAAGGAAGUGAGGAGACUCUUGUCCCAGUCCAGGAAAGACUGAAUGGGGCUGCCCAGGGUGAUAGGGAUGCCUGGUCUGGGACCAGAGCAAUGGCAGGGGUUUGAGCCCUAGUUUGGGGCCCCAGAGGACAGCAUGAAUUUGCCCCAAGGAAGAACAGGAGACUUGGUUUCUGGAAGGUCUGUGAGGUCCCCGCAGGUCCAUAUUAGUAUUCAGUAUUUAUAAUAUUUCCAUAAUGGUAAAACAAAAGAAAACAAGCAGAGAGAAUGCAUUUUUAAUCACCAAUCAUUUCUCUUUGUUUGUUGUGAAUGAACAGCGAGGUGAAAUAGUAUUUCAUAAUCACCCCAUUCGAAUUUUCCUCCCCACGAAGCGCCGAGAAAUCUCUAAAUAAAAUAAAUAAACAAGCCAAGACCUUAAAAUAAAUUCCAGAGGGUAAAGUGCUACGUGUGGGUUAUCACAGCUGCGGGGAGGCUGGGGCUGGGAGGUGGGGAAGGGAGGACAAAGGGCCAGGGGCCUUGUCAGUUAUCAGGAAUCGGAUCCCCCAGAUCCAGAGACUGACAAGGAAGGGCAGAAGAUCAGAGGAAUGGUUUGAAGAUCUGCAGCAGCAUGGAGCUGGAACAGACUCCCCCCUACUUCAUUUCUUCCUUCUUUUUCUUUCAG
rnacentral:lncRNA from 10 species